rnacentral:rRNA from 1 species
UGGGGAAUAUUGGACAAUGGGCGAAAGCCUGAUCCAGCCAUGCCGCGUGUGUGAAGAAGGUCUUCGGAUUGUAAAGCACUUUUAGUUGGGAGGAAGGGCAUUAACCUAAUACCUUGGUGUUUUGACGUUACCGACAGAAUAAGCACCGGCUAACUCUGUGCCAGCAGCCGCGGUAAUUA